rnacentral:piRNA from 1 species
UGACCUGUAGUAACUUCCAAA